GAUGAACGCUGGCGGCGUGCCUAAUACAUGCAAGUCGAGCGAACAGACGAGGAGCUUGCUCCUCUGACGUUAGCGGCGGACGGGUGAGUAACACGUGGAUAACCUACCUAUAAGACUGGGAUAACUUCGGGAAACCGGAGCUAAUACCGUAUAAUAUAUUGCACCGCAUGGUUCAAUAGUGAAAGACGGUUUUGCUGUCACUUAUAGCUGGAUCCGCGCCGCAUUAGCUAGUUGGUAAGGUAACGGCUUACCAAGGCAACGAUGCGUAGCCGACCUGAGAGGGUGAUCGGCCACACUGGAACUGAGACACGGUCCAGACUCCUACGGGAGGCAGCAGUAGGGAAUCUUACGCAAUGGGCGAAAGCCUGACGGAGCAACGCAGCGUGAGUGAUGAAGGUCUUCGGAUCGUAAAACUCUGUUAUUAGGGAAGAACAAAUGUGUAAGUAACUAUGCACGUCUUGACGGUACCUAAUCAGAAAGCCACGGCUAACUACGUG
rnacentral:rRNA from 1 species